UGGGGAAUAUUGGACAAUGGGCGCAAGCCUGAUCCAGCCAUGCCGCGUGAGUGAUGAAGGCCCUAGGGUUGUAAAGCUCUUUCACCGGUGAAGAUAAUGACGGUAACCGGAGAAGAAGCCCCGGCUAACUUCGUGCCAGCAGCCGCGGUAAUACGAAGGGGGCUAGCGUUGUUCGGAUUUACUGGGCGUAAAGCGCACGUAGGCGGACUAUUAAGUCAGUGGUGAAAUCCCGGGGCUCAACCCCGGAACUGCCUUUGAUACUGGUAGUCUUGAGUUCGAGAGAGGUGAGUGGAAUUCCGAGUGUAGAGGUGAAAUUCGUAGAUAUUCGGAGGAACACCAGUGGCGAAGGAGGCUCACUGGCUCGAUACUGACGCUGAGGUGCGAAAGCGUGGGGAGCAAACAGG
rnacentral:rRNA from 1 species